UACAGAGGGUGCAAGCGUUUAAUCGGAAUUACUGGGCGUAAAGCGUGCGUAGACGGUUAUGUAAGUCAGGUGUGAAAGCCCAGGGCUCAACCUUGGAAUUGCAUUUGAGACUGCAUAGCUAGGGUGCGGAAGAGGGAAGCGGAAUUUCCGGUGUAGCGGUGAAAUGCGUAGAUAUCGGAGGGAACACCAGUGGCGAAAGCGGCUUCCUGGUCCAGCACCGACGUUCAGGCACGAAAGCGUGGGGAGCAAACAGG
rnacentral:rRNA from 1 species